AUUGAACGCUGGCGGCAGGCCUAACACAUGCAAGUCGAACGAGUGGCGGACGGGUGAGUAAUGUAUGGGGAUCUGCCCUAUAGAGGGGGAUAACUACUGGAAACGGUGGCUAAUACCGCAUACUAUCGGAUGAACCCAUGUGGGAUUAGCUAGUAGGUGGGGUAAAGGCUCACCAAGGCGACGAUCUCUAGCUGGUCUGAGAGGAUGAUCAGCCACACUGGGACUGAGACACGGCCCAGACUCCUACGGGAGGCAGCAGUGGGGAAUAUUGCGCAAUGGGCGCAAGCCUGAUGCAGCCAUGCCGCGUGUAUGAAGAAGGCCUUAGGGUUGUAAAGUUCUUUCAGCGGGGAGGCGUUACCCGCAGAAGAAGCACCGGCUAACUCCGUGCCAGCAGCCGCGGUAAUAC
rnacentral:rRNA from 1 species